rnacentral:rRNA from 1 species
AGCAGCCGCGGUAAUUCCAGCUCCAAUAGCGUAUAUUAAAGUUGUUGCAGUUAAAAAGCUCGUAGUUGAAUUUCGGGGUCUGUCCGUCGGUCGGGCUUUACGGUCCGUACUGGUGUGAUGGGUUCCUACCUUCUGAAUAACCGGCAUGCCAUUCAGUUGGUGCGCCGGGGAAGCAGAGCUAUUACCUUGAAAAAAGUUAGAGUGCUUAAAGCAGGCUAGUGCUUGAAUAGAUUAGCAUGGAAUAAUAAAAUAGGACGGCAUGGUUCUAUUUUGUUGGCUUCUAGGAUCACCGUAAUGAUUAAUAGGGAUAGUUGGGGGCAUUAGUAUUCAAUUGUCAGAGGUGAAAUUCUUGGAUUUAUUGAAGACUAACUUCUGCGAAAGCAUUUGCCAAGGAUGUUUUCAUUAAUCAAGAACGAAAGUUAGGGGAUCGAAGACGAUCAGAUACCGUCGUAGUCUUAACCAUAAACUAUGCCGACUAGGGAUCGGACGAUGUUAAUUUUUUCAAUGACUCGUUCGGCGC